GACGGAAGAACCUCCCAAAACCCUUGCUUGCUAUUCCAUACGCCACAAGAGCCAUGAGCGCCGCCAGCUCGGACUCCGCUGAAAUCGCCACUGGCUCCAAGCGCCCGUUCGAUCCCUCCCUUGCCGACCCGUCGCCGCCUUCCAAACUCCAGCGGUUCUCCCAGUCAGACAUCUCGCCGGCGGACGCAGACAGCGGCGGAGAGGCGGGCGCCGAAAGCGAGGCGAUGGCCGGCGCACGGCUCUCCCGGACGCAGCGAUACCUGGUCGCCGUGGAGUACGAUGGCACCCGCUUCUCCGGUUCCCAGCAGCAGCCGAACCAGCGCACCGUCGUAGGCGUCCUCAAGGAGGCAUUUCACAAAUUCAUUGGGCAGCCAGUCUCAAUCUUCUGUUCUAGUCGAACGGAUGCAGGUGUUCAUGCUUUGUCAAAUGUUUGUCAUGUUGAUGUGGAGCGCAUAAGUAAAAGGAAGCCUGGUGAAGUGUUGCCACCUCAUGACCCUGAAGUUGUAAAAUGCGCGGUGAACCAUUUUUUACAUAAGAAUGAAGGUGACAUAAUGGUGACUGAUGUUCGUUGUGUUGCACCAGAUUUCCAUGCUAGAUACAAAGCUCUAGAGCGCACGUAGGUAGCAAAAUCUACAAUAUAAUACGAGGCACUCUUCUAAUUUAUCUUGUUACUAUUCCAUUCGUAUGUCUAAAAUUUAUUAAAAGGCUAGUGACUUUGAGUCCUCCUAUUAUGCUUUAUUUUCUAAGUGUGAGAAUGGUAGCUUGAUUAUAAACAACUCCAUUUGUCCUUUCGAAGUUAUGAGGGUGUUAUUGCUCUACUAAUUUUGUUGAAGGUAUCACUAUCGUUUACUUUCUGGGCCUGAGCGACCGUCAAUCUUUGAGAAAAAUUCGGCUUGGCACAUACCUGAGGAUCUAAAUAUACAAGCUAUGAAGAAAGCAUGCAAUAUACUUGUUGGGCAUCAUGAUUUCAGUUCAUUUCGAGCAUUUGGAUGUCAGGCAAAAUCUCCAGUGAGAACUUUGGAUGAGCUUACUGUUACAGAAGUAUUUCCUGUCAUGUUUUUUCCUUCAAGCUUAGAGCGAUCAGAGAUGGAAUCACCAGAUGGGUCUCUUGUUUAUUCAAGGGCAUCACUCAUGGGAUCUUCUGGAGAAGGAUCUGAUGUUUCUAGUACUACUAGUGGGAAAUCAGUAUGCGAGAAUGGGCAAGAGUUUGGAAAGAGAUUAAGGCACCGCUGCUUUGUUGUUACUGCAAGGGCACAGUCUUUCCUUUACCACCAGGUAAGAUUGAUGGUCGGUCUUCUGAAAGCUGUUGGAAUAGGAGAUCUAACAACUGCUGAUGUGGAGAGAAUUCUGGAUGCAAAGACAAUGACUGCUGCACCUCCUAUGGCACCUGCUUACGGGCUUUACCUUGACAACGUGAAAUAUGACCCGAUUGUUUAAAGAGUGAUUUUGAGCUUGAGUUUUGUUAGCUAUUGGAUAUGUAGGAUAAGUUUUUCGAAUCAAUGGAUAAAUGAAGUGUUGAAAGAAGAUGUCACAAAGGAACCUGGCUUGUCAUCUUUUGUUCAGAAUUAUGUGUUUCCCAUAAUAUACUUUUGUGAGAUGCAUUUCUUAUUGUAGUGAGUUUCUGCAUCAAGAGGGUCAGAUAGUUAGCCGAGUAACAUUCUGGAUACCUGAAUGGAGGGUUGAAUGACUAUCCAUAUCGGGAAUAAUUUUUGCGCACUAACAAUUACUCCCUCUAAAGAAACACUCCCUCCGUUCCUUAUAUAAGGUGUAUUUGUUUUUUUGAUAAAAUUCCAUAAUGUAAGGUGCAUUUCUUCUAAUUCCUCGU
rnacentral:rRNA from 1 species